CAAGUCGAACGAAUGCUGGCUGUGUAGCAAUACAUGGCCAGAGGAAGUGGCGAAAGGGGCAGUAAUGCGUGGAUAACCUACCUUGGGGAUGGGCAUAGCCGUUCUAACGAGCGGGUAAUUCCCAGAGAUUCGGCGGAAGGGCAUCCUUCUACCGGGAAAUGAGUUUCGCCUCGAGAGGGGUCCACGUGCUAUUAGCUAGUUGGUGAGGUAACGGCUCACCAAGGCUAAGAUGGCUAGCGGGUGUGAGAGCACGACCCGCGCCACUGGCACUGAGACACUGGCCAGACACCUACGGGUGGCUGCAGUCGAGGAUCUUCGUCAAUGGGCGCAAGCCUGAACGAGCGACACCGCGUGCGCGAUGAAGGCCUUCGGGUUGUAAAGCGCGAAAGUGGAGAGAAAGGGAAACUUGAUCAAUCCACAGUAAGGACGGGCUAAGUUCGUGCCAGCAGCCGCGGUAAGACGAACUGUCCUAACGUUGUUCGGAAUCACUGGGCUUAAAGGGCGCGUAGGCGGUCCGACAAGUCAGGGGUGAAAUCCUGCAGCUUAACUGUAGAAGUGCCUUUGAUACUGUCGGUCUUGAGGGAGAUAGGGGUGUGCGGAACUUCCAGUGGAGCGGUGAAAUGCGUUGAUAUUGGAAGGAACGCCGGAGGCGAAAGCGGCGCACUGGAUCUCUUCUGACGCUGAGGCGCGAAAGCUAGGGGAGCAAACGGGAUUAGAUACCCCGGUAGUCCUAGCCCUAAACGAUGAGUACUAGAUUGUAGACUUUCAUGGGUUUACAGUCGAAGCAAAAGUGUUAAGUACUCCGCCUGGGGAGUAUGGUC
rnacentral:rRNA from 1 species